UACGUAGGGGGCAAGCGUUAUCCGGAUUCACUGGGUGUAAAGGGAGCGUAGACGGCGACGCAAGUCUGGAGUGAAAGCCCGGGGCCCAACCCCGGGACUGCUCUGGAAACUGCGUCGCUGGAGUACGGGAGGGGCAGGCGGAAUUCCUGGUGUAGCGGUGAAAUGCGUAGAUAUCAGGAGGAACAUCGGCGGCGAAGGCGGCCUGCUGGACCGCGACUGACGUUGAGGCUCGAGAGCGUGGGGAGCAAACAGG
rnacentral:rRNA from 1 species